rnacentral:rRNA from 1 species
UGAGGAAUUUUCGGCAAUGGGGGCAACCCUGACCGAGCAACGCCGCGUGCAGGAAGAAGGUUUUCGGAUCGUAAACUGCUUUUCUGUGGGACGAGAACGGACGGUACCACAGGAACAAGCCCCGGCUAACUACGUGCCAGCAGCCGCGGUAAUACGUAGGGGGCGAGCGUUGUCCGGAGUUACUGGGCGUAAAGCGCGCGCAGGCGGUCUGUUAAGUUUGCACUGACAGCUCCUGGCUUAACCGGGAGAGGCGUGUGAAAACUGGCAGACUUGAGGGCCUCAGAGGGACAUGGAAUUCCAGGUGGAGCGGUGAAAUGCGUAGAGAUCUGGAGGAACACCAAUAGCGAAGGCAGUGUCCUGGGAGGCACCUGACGCUCAGGCGCGAAAGCCAGGGGAGCGAACGGGAUUAGAUACCCCCGUAGUCC